rnacentral:rRNA from 1 species
GUAACGGCCCACCAAGGCGACGAUGGGUAGCCGACCUGAGAGGGUGAUCGGCCACACUGGAACUGAGAGACGGUCCAGACUCCUACGGGAGGCAGCAGUGGGGAAUAUUGGGCAAUGGGCGCAAGCCUGACCCAGCAACGCCGCGUGAGGGAAGAAGGUUUUCGGAUUGUAAACCUCUGUCCUUGGGGACGAAGGAAGUGACGGUACCCGAGGAGGAAGCCCCGGCUAACUACGUGCCAGCAGCCGCGGUAAUACGUAGGGGGCGAGCGUUGUCCGGAAUGACUGGGCGUAAAGGGCGCGUAGGCGGCCGAUUAAGUCUGGAGUGAAAGUCCUGCUUUCAAGGUGGGAAUUGCUUUGGAGACUGGUUGGCUUGAGUGCGGAAGAGGUAAGUGGAAUUCCCAGUGUAGCGGUGAAAUGCGUAGAGAUUGGGAGGAACACCAGUGGCGAAGGCGACUUACUGGGCCGUAACUGACGUUGAGGCGCGAAAGCGUGGGGAGCGAACAGGAUUAGAUACCCUGGUAGUCCACGCGGUAAACGAUGAAUGCUAGGUGUUGCGGGUAUCGACCCCUGCAGUGCCGGAGUAAACACAAUAAGCAUUCCGCCUGGGGAGUACGGCCGCAAGGUUGAAACUCAAAGGAAUUGACGGGGGCCCGCACAAGCAGCGGAGCAUGUGGUUUAAUUCGAAGCAACGCGAAGAACCUUACCAGGUCUUGACAUCGAAGUAAAGCCAUAGAGAUAUGGUGUGGAUUCGUCCAACUGAAGACAGGUGGUGCAUGGUUGUCGUCAGCUCGUGUCGUGAGAUGUUGGGUUAAGUCCCGCAACGAGCGCAACCCUUAUGGUCAGUUACUAACGGGUAGAGCCGAGGACUCUGACGAGACUGCCGGGGACAACUCGGAGGAAGGUGGGGACGACGUCAAAUCAUCAUGCCCCUUAUGACCUGGGCUACACACGUGCUACAAUGGUGGUAACAAAGAGGAGCGAACCCGUAAGGGCAAGCGGAUCUCAAAAAAGCCAUCCCAGUUCGGAUUGUGGGCUGCAACCCGCCCACAUGAAGUUGGAGUUGCUAGUAAUCGCGAAUCAGCAUGUCGCGGUGAAUACGUUCCCGGGCCUUGCACUCACCGCCCGUCA